UACGGAGGGUGCAAGCGUUAAUCGGAAUUACUGGGCGUAAAGCGCACGCAGGUGGCUGAGUCAGUCGAUUGUGAAAGCCCUGGGCUUAACCUGGGAAUUGCAGUCGAUACUACUCAGCUAGAGUAUGGGAGAGGGUAGUGGAAUUCCCGGUGUAGCGGUGAAAUGCGUAGAUAUCGGGAGGAACAUCAGUGGCGAAAGCGGCUUCCUGGUCCAGCACCGACGUUCAGGCACGAAAGCGUGGGGAGCAAACAGG
rnacentral:rRNA from 1 species